AGACAUGUUUCUCCAAAGCUGAACA
rnacentral:piRNA from 1 species